GGAUCUCUCUGUAUCCUUUCCUUGCAGUCCACGUGCCCCCACCGCUUAACAGCCACCACAUACAGAGUCUCCAGAUUUUUCUCUCCCCAUCGACCAGCCCACCACCGCCCGGCCUCACCCAACUUGCCCCCCUUUUCUUCGUCUCCCGCGAUGUGGCAAAGGACGAUGUCGGCGGCGAUGUAGCCUGGAGGAGUCGGCGGCACGGGAGAAGGAUGUGCGCAGGAAGGGGGCGGGACCUGGCGGAUAGGUGGUGGUUGGGCAGAGUUGAUCGUUCUGGGAGAAAGGGUGGGCCUCGACGAGGCGCGCAGAGACCCUGGCCUAGGAGGCGGCAACUGCGAGCGGGCCGGGUGGCGGGUGCCGGUCCAGGGCGACGAGGAGGCGAGGAGCUUGAUCUUCAGUGACGAGGCACUUGAGGGCAACGUUGGCGUCACCAUGGCCGGAUGCCGCCGCGCGCAGGCGGUUCGUGAGCGCGGACGCGACCGCCGAGCCGGACAAACGCGAUUCGCGGCGGAAGGCGAGGAGGCGGACAUGUGUGAUUCGGGGCGAAAGGCGAGGAGCGCGUACAGGAGAUGCAAGAGAAGAGCACACCCAUCCGAGGAUCUGCGGCUGGUAGACUUGCAUGUGGUUUUACAAGCUGAGCAAAGCCAGGGCCCCUCCGUUGGACUUGGCGGUCGCGUUCGAGACCAUCUACAAUUGGUAAUUGCACUUGUGGAAUAAGUUGAGGGCUGGAAAGAACACGAGGUGCAGGGUAUCAUCCUUUGAAUCCACUAAGCCUUCAAGUAUAUUGUUUACGAAGAAUCACGGAGGCAGAGGGUGCUGAGGUGACUUAAACAGCGGCACAAGCAGAUGCUAAUAUUUUUUUUGUUUCUGUUGAAUUAUAUUUGACAUACAUGUCUUCGGUUACUAAGGUGGAUUCUCUGAAGGUAUUGCUUAACUUUCUCUAAUUGGCAUUUCUGUAGGAGAGCCAUAUAAAGAGGAUUCAGAGGAGUAAUGUCAGUGCCUUUUCAGAUGAUUUCGUUGAUUUGUGCUAGCUUUGUUCACCAGAUUCAGUAGCGUAGUUUUUUUUUUGCCAUAUAGAUGUUGACGUUGCAUCUUCCGAUAUGUUUUCCGCUAUUUUUGGACUAUACUAAUAACGAAAUAGGUCACUAGAUGGGCUACGAAAUAGAUAUGGCAUGUCUUAUUGAUCAGUAAUCGUGGUACUAUAUCACUGCUAUCAGAGAUGUCUGAUAUGAUGCACCGGUGCAGGACCUUCACAGUGCCUGCUCGACCUAAAGGUUACUCUUUGUCUCUCUGUUUCUCCCUCUCUCAAGUAGCUUGCGGAGGAAUAUUAUUACUAUGGUGUGUUGCUCGGUAUGAGCUCCAUGUCGGCGGCAUGCACUACUUAAUUAUCUGGAUGGGCCGUCUUGCUUGCUCUUCUCGGUUCCUAGCUUUUUCUUUACGUGGUUUGGUACUAUCAUCUGGAUUACUUCGAAUGCAUGAUAUUCUCAUCAUUUCGUUUCUUGACCAACGAAAUCAUGAAAAAUAUUUAUAAGUUUCUGUUGCUAAAAUUUGUUAACCACUACUUAAUUAUCUUUCUCAAAAUUUCUUUGCAAUUGUUAUAAUCUAAUUUGUUCCAGGAAAAAAAAGCAAACAUAGAUGAAUUUUGCUUUGAUGCAGCCAGUAUUUUUAAAGUAGUGAUCCCUGUCCAAAAGACCACAUGAAUUAUAUGAAGACUCAGUGCAUUUUGACCCUAUUUUUAUCCUUAGUGUACAUGAAAGGAAGCGUCUCAAUCCCAUGUUGCCUGUGUUGUGCACUACCGGGAGGUACUUUGCUCUACCAUUUUUAAGGAAUGCACUGUGAUGAUGAUGGAUUUGAAUAUCUCAUUGAGACCCUUACUUUUUGGUUGGAUGUAAUAUGCAGAAUUAUGGUUAGUCCCCUGUUAGAUGUACUUUUUUCUUCAUGCAGGUAGUGUGCGGACAUACGAAUAUCGUUUAACCUUUCUUCCCAUUAAACCAGAUUAUUUGGUAACCUUUAUUUUUGGUGGGAAAUUGCAGGUACUGUCUUCCUACUUCUAUUGCUGCCAGGAAUUCACCGUGUAUGGCUCAUGCCCUUCUGUGCGAGCAAAAGAUUUGGACCUUUUGAAUUUAUCGUCGCAUGCCUGGGUGAACUCAAUUACUCAAGCCUGGAGGAUUAUUGUUCUACUUCUGGACCUACCUGUAGUUUUACUAACGCCGAUGUGAGUGGUCUAUUUCUGUUCUUAUAUCAUGCCAUACUUAUAAUAUCUUACAUGUGAAUCUACACACUUGGUAUAUGCAUUACUAUUUUUAUUUGGACGGUUCUA